rnacentral:rRNA from 1 species
GACGAACGCUGGCGGCGUGCUUAACACAUGCAAGUCGAACGGAGUGGCGAACGGGUGAGUAACACGUGGGUGAUCUGCCUUGCACUUCGGGAUAAGCUUGGGAAACUGGGUCUAAUACCAGAUAGUGCACGAUGAGCUCGCGGCCUAUCGGCUUGUUGGUGGGGUAAUGGACUACCAAGGAGUCGACGGGUAGCCGGCCUGCGAGGGUGUACGGACACAUUAGGACUUAGAGACGGCCCAGACUCCUACGGGAGGCAGCAGGGGGGAAUAUUGCACAAUGAGCGGAAGCCUGAUGCAGCGACGCCGGGUGGGUGAUGAAGGCUUUCGGGUUGUAAACUCCUUUCGACAGGGACGCGGUACCUGUAUAAGAAGCACCGGCUAACUACGUGCCAGCAGCCGCGGUAAUUC